UACGGGGGGGGCAAGCGUUGUUCGGAAUUACUGGGCGUAAAGGGCUCGUAGGCGGCCAACUAAGUCGGAUGUGAAAUCCCCAGGCUUAACCUGGGAAUUGCAUCCGAUACUGGAUGGCUUGAAUCCGGGAGAGGGAUGCGGAAUUCCAGGUGUAGCGGUGAAAUGCGUAGAUAUCUGGAGGAACACCGGUGGCGAAGGCGACCUUCUGGACAGUGACUGACGCUGAGACGCGAAAGCGUGGGAGCAAACAGG
rnacentral:rRNA from 1 species